AGCGGCGGGCAGCGCACGGAAGGGGAGCGGAGCGGAUCAGCUCACCUCGACGCAGCUGAGGCUCAGCUCGUCUUGCGCUUUUUUGGAGGUGCUCCGAUUCUGAUAAAAUGGGCAAAACAAAAUAAAAGUCGGCGACGAAUGUGGCGGGCAAAGCGCAGGGCAGCAAACACGAACGAACGCACAAAGGAGAACCACUAAAACUUGUUGCUGAUGCCGCGAUCCCAGUUUUAUUUCAUUUCAUUUUAUUUUCAGCCGCUCGAAGCUUGCUUUCUUUUUCGCCGCGUUUAACCGAGAGCUUAGUAUUCUGAAUUUCAACGGGCAGUGGGGAGGGGGAAUCGGCCGACCACCCUCUCCGUUCUAUCUACGGUUCCCCACUUUCACGGUUACGGUUCCACGGUUCUCCGAUCUGCGAUCUCCGUUCUUCCGAGCUCCCGUUCUCGUUCUCGCGAGCGGCGCUUGUGAUUCAUAUUGCAAAUUUAUUAUGACCUGCUGGUGGCGUUGGCUGGCGUCGUGGAAGACAUUGAUAAAUAUCUGAAAUGAGCAAUUAUGGGACCAGCGGCGGAUGAAAACGUAGACGACAAUAAGAUUCUUUUGUUUUAUUUAAAAA